UUUUUGUUAAAAAAUUAUUAAAACAUUAAAUGGAUUCCUAAACAUCAAAAAAUUUUGUGGACGUGAUAAAACGAAAAACGUUAAAAUGAGUUAUUUUUAAUUUUCCAUAAUUGAGAAAUUGAAUUCUAUAUUUUUAGAAUGCACUAUAACGUCAUAUAGUGUAAUAGUUAGUGAACUGAAUCAUCUAAGUAACUAAUAUAUUAAAAAUCAACCGAGAAUCUGAUAAUAGCGGCGAGCGAAUUUGGAUAAACAAUUAAAAGUUUUUAACAAUUUUUAGAAUAUUAAAAGCCAUAGAAGGAAAGCUAAAUGAAACAAGAGAGCCCUGUAUAAAUAAAUUAAAAACUUAAUAUAAGUAAAAUAAUACAAGUCGUGUAUUGUUUGAAUCUUGAGGGACCAUCCUCAAAGUUUAAAAUUUUUGAUGAUUGAUAGUGCAAAGUACCGUGAGGGAAUGGUGAAAAAAAUGUGUAAAAAUAAUAGACUUUGUGAAAUUUAAUGUUGACAAGCAGUUAGCGCUUUUUAAAAGUAAUAACGUACUUUUUGCAUAACGGACCAACAAGUUUAUUUUAGUGGCGAGCUUAAAUAUAAAAAUUAUGUAGGCGCAAAGAAAUUAAAUAUUAAAUUGUAAAUAGUCUCUAGAAUAAAACCCGAAACUAAGUGAUCUAACCAUGAGCAAGUUGAAGUUUAAAUUUCGAUUUAAUGAAGGACUGAACCCGUGUAUGUGGCAAAAUACUGGGAUGACUUGUGGUUUGGAGUGAAAGGCUAAUCAAACUUAGAAAUAGCUGGUUUUCUGCGAAAUCUAUUUUAGUAGAGUGUUUGAAUUAUUACUUUUUCUAGGGUAGAGCUCUCAAUAAGCUAUGGGGAUAGAUUUAUCUUACUGAUCUUAAUGAAACUUCCAAUAUAGAUUAAAAAAAGGUUUUCAAGCAAACAAACUAUGAGUGCUAAGAUUCAUAGUUAAAAGGGAUACAGCCCAGACUAUUAGUUAAGGUCCUAAAAAGUAAUUAAGUGUAAAAAUCGUGAAAAAAUGUUGACAAUCGAUAGGUAGGCUUAGAAGCAGCCAUCCUUUAAAGAAAGCGUAACAGCUCAUUGAUAGAGUUUUUUUGCGUUGAAAAUUAAAAGGGACUUAAAUUACUAACCGAAACUAUAGAUUUUGUAUAUUUUUACAAAAUGGUAGCAGAACGUUCUGUAUAUUAAAGAAGAUUUAUGGUAACAUAAGUUGGAAAAAUCAGAAGUGAACAUGUUGGUAUGAGUAGCUAUAAACAAUGUCUUUCUUCGUUCGGCGAAGUCGGUGAAACAUUGUCACCUUAAGUUCUAGGUUUUCGGGAUUCCAAGGAUUAACCGUCUCGACUUAAGCGGUCUCUAAGAAAAAAACGAAAGUUUUUGUUGAUGAGGAAAGAAAAAAAAUUCUUUUUUUGUUUUAUAGUGACAAAAUACAAAUAUAAUUUUAUUAUUGAAAAAGUGUGAAAAUAUAAAAAGUUAUAUAGUAUUUUCAGGAAAUAGCUAAAAACAAUAUUUAAACCGUACUAAAAUCGACACAGAUGAACUAGUUUAGUAAAUUAAGGUGGUUGAGAGAAUUAUGUUGAAGGAACUCGGCAAAUUUACUCCGUAACUUCGGAAUAAGGAGGGACUUUAUUUAGGGAAACCUGUAAAGUUGUCACGAAAAUGGGAGUAGCGACUGUUUAAUAAAAACACAGGUCUUUGCUAAUUCGUAAGAAGAUGUAUUGAGACUGACGCCUGCCCAGUGCUGCAAGAUUAAAGGAAAUUGUUUACAGCAUUUUCCCUAAACCCCAGUAAACGGCGGCUGUAACUCUGACGGUCCUAAGGUAGCAAAAUUCCUUGGCAUUUAAUUGGUGUCCUGCAUGAAUGGCGUAACGACUGCUCCGCUGUCUCCAACAGAAACUCAGUGAAAUUGAAUUUUCCGUGAAGAUGCGGAAUACUUACGGCUAGACGGAAAGACCCUGUGCACCUUAACUAUAGUUAUACAUUGUAUCAAAAAUUUUUGUGUGUAGUAUAAGUGGUAAGCUAAAUUUUUUAUUUUCAUUUCUGGAAAUAAAAAAAACCAAAAGAUGUGCUUGCGCUAGCAAGUUAUUUUAAUAGCAUCAAGUGAAAUACCACUCUCCAAAGUUUUUGGUACUUAUUUUAGACAGUGUGUAAGUGGUAGUUUGACUGGGGCGGUCGCCUCCUAAAAAGUAACGGAGGCGCGCAAAGGUGAAUUUGAAUUGAAUAUUAUCAGUUUUAAAGCGUAAUAGUAUAAAUGUUUGCUUGACUGUAAGAUUGACAAAUCGAGCAGGGACGAAAGUCGGUUAUAGUGAUCCGGUGAUUCUGAAUGGAAAUGGUCAUCGCUCAACGAAUAAAAGGUACGUCAGGGAUAACAGGCUAAUCACUCUCUAGAGACCCUAUCGACGGGGUGGUUUGGCACCUCGAUGUUGGAUCAUCGCAUCCUGGGGCUGUAAGUGGUCCCAAGGGUUUGGCUGUUCGCCAAGGAAGGCGGUACGUGAUCUGAGUUUAGAACGUUGUGAAACAGUUUGGUCCCUAUCUUCCGUGAGUGAAGAAAAUUAGAAGGAGUAAACCUUAGUACGAGAGGACCGGGAAAAGCGAAUCUAUUGUGUAUCGAUUGUUCUAACAUUGUCAUCGUCGAGUAGCUACGUUCGUAAUAAAUAAUCGCUGAAAGCAUUUAAGUGAGAAAUUAACCUUGAAACUAGUUUUUGAACAAAUGUGAUAGAUGAUCACAAAAAUAGGCUUAAUGUGUGAGAAUUUUAAGAUUUUUAGCUAAUAAGUACUAAUUUAACAAAUUUUUUAACAUUUUUA
rnacentral:rRNA from 1 species